rnacentral:tRNA from 1 species
AGUCCUGUAGUGUAAUGGUUACCACACCAGACUCUGACUCUGUUGAUCUUGGUUCGAAUCCAGGCAGGACUA